AAACCAGGCACCACCCAGGAGGGCACUCACGCCUAAGAAAUUGGAGGCAGUCGGAAACGCCUUCAGCAAGUAAAUUGCUGGGAGACCUAGAGAAACGGCACCAAUGGAGAGGUUAAGAAAAAUGAACAGAUUCAUUGCCGAAAUGUUGAACGACCUAAAUAAAUGAGUCGUCAAAACAUUA